rnacentral:lncRNA from 1 species
GAGGACAAGCUCUAAACUUUUGCUUCUGUUACAUGGUCUAGUUUGCUUUUGCUGCUAAGAGAGCUGCACUAUUAUCUGUCUAUUGAGUCGUCGUCGCUGUAUUGCUAUUGGAAUGUACUCCUAUCUGUCGUGAUACUGGCACUUUGUUUUGAUGUCUGUCGAUGUUAAAACUUAGAUUAUAUAUCUGUCGCGAUACUUUUGAUGUCUAUCAAUGUUAAAACUUAGACUAUAUAUCUGUUAUGGUAGUUCUUGUUGAUGUCUUGUUUGCUUUUGUGUUAGAUCUUGAGAUCUCUGCCUGGUUCUUUAUUUUGCUCUAGUCUUGCUCUAUAUUUUUAAUGAUCUUGAGAGCUCCUCUACUUGCAGUAUUUCUUCCUGCUCUUAUCAUCAUUUUACCUUCCAUGUUUUAUGCCCAUCAAAAUGUGUUCCAUCUUCUGUCAGUUGUAUUUCAAUCUAUGCUGUACUUGUUUUUCUCCAUUUUCACGAGACACGCACUGAUGAUGAGAAAUUGCUCCCUAGUGCUAGAUACAUCUGUUGAGCAAACAACAUUUCAGACGGAGGAUGUAGUACAUUAGAGGAACUUGCCGAGAGAAUAUACUGUAGUAGAAGCAUCUGUUAAUGCCGAGAGUAUCCGAACUUGUAUCUCUUCGGAAUACUACAGAUUGAACCUUUGUAGGCAUGAAAGAAUAUUCACAUAAUUUUCAUGCUCAGUAACUCUCUUACUCCACGGUCAUAGCAAUAUUGAGUUCUGAAGUUGUUCAUGGUAAAUUCUGGCAUAUAAUUGAUUUGUCUGCUAUUUCUUUACUGUUACUGGAUGCAAUGUACUGAGUAGUUGUACACGGGCUCUAUGUAAUUAUGACACUUGCAAAUAAGCUUCAACCUUUUAAUUUUUGCUGAAACAUAGGCAUGCCAUUUAAUGACUUGUUUUCAUGACCAACUUUGCCACAAUUAAGCUUAGGCAAAGAGUGGCUAACAAAAUGUUUACUACAAGUGUGGCAAGAUUUGGCAAAAAAUUUGAGCCUAUGACAUGUGGAUCAUAUAGCUAGAAAAGUGUGGCAGCUAAGUGUGGCAAUAAACUAAAUACAUGCCUAAGAUGUUGUGGCACGACUAAGGUUAGACGCGGAAACCUUACGCUGCAAAUCAAACAUACCUUAACUAAAAUAAAGUGAUCUCAGGUUUCUUAAUUUGGACACGAUGUUCAUAAAUACAAAUAAUACUCUCUCCGUAUCUAAUACUAAAACGUGACUUGAUACAUCCGUAUUUAGACAAAUCUAAGACAAGAAUUUUGGGACGGGGGAGUAGAUGAUUGGCUUUGGUCAGUGUGUUCUGGCCGCUUUAUGGAUGCUUACUUUUAUCUUUUAUGAAAUUUCAAUACUUUUCAAAAGACAAGACAGACUUUUAAUUGCCAACAAAAAUAGUACGGGAAAAUAGGGCUGAGGCUCGUCCAUCAAAUUCUCCGCUAAAAGGGAAAAUAUAAAGUGGCGGAGCUAACAAUAAUUUUGAUUGAUUGCAUUCAUCUUUGGAUGAAAGCUUAGUUUGAGCAUGAUUCUCCAAAAAUAUUACCUAAAUGAUAAGCUUAAAAUCCGUAGCCUCCUAUUCACCAUCUCUAGUCAAUCAUGUCGAUCAUUUCAAUGGAUAUUAGAGUUAUGGAUCUUUAUUACGGCUUACCGCCUAAAGAGAAUAAGGUCGAUGCCGGGAAAUCCACCGGUGGUGCCCCUAUGGUACAUGGUGAGCUUCCCGUCACCACACAACUGUUGCCUUGACCAUGGUGGACUUUACGUUAAUGUUGGAUUUUUAAGUCCGCCAUGAUAAAAGAAGUUCAUUCCAUUUUCAAGGAAGAGGUGGGCUCGAAAGUCAAAGCCUCUACAUCCGCACAAUCCUCAUUUGCUCCAAGUGAGGUUCGUGAUGUGGACGAUGUAAGAGAACAUCUUGCUCUCCCCGAACCUACAAUUGCACCCCUCGCAAUUCCAUAGAGUGCCACUACACACUAUGACCUAUCCAACAUCCGGAUAUUAAUCAUGUUGGGCCUCCGCCCCCUUUGAAAGCUAACACAUUUUCUAAGCGGAAACUCACUCUGGAGUCUCACAUUUACAGUGCCUCUACACAACUCUCAUGGGUGAUUGCGAAUGGUUUCAAGCCCAAGGACCCAUCAAGCCUUACACCAAGGGAAGCCGUUGAUGAUCGAUUCAUUACCACCGCCUUCAACAUGCUCCGGCUUGCCACCACCGAUGAGUAUGCCAAUUCCAUUGCUAUCUUCAAGCCCCCCAAAGAAAUUUGAGAUUGCAUUGAGGAUAUAUUUGAAGGACAUGACAAUGUUCAGAGAUCUAGGUUGGUCAUUGUUCGUCAAUUUGUCCAUAAGGAAUGUGAGAGAGACCACUGAAGAGGUGUUCUGGAGAUUGAAGUCACUUGUGUUGGAUUCGAGAAACUUUUGGAGCCAUGGUCUUUACGAAUCAUACUAUGAUCAUGAUGAUCCACCAACAUCCCGACUAUGACCGAAUGACUCCCAAUCGAGUUGUGUCUUCUUUUGGAGAUCAAGUCCAAGAACACAAUGGCGAUUGAUCAAGAAAUAAAGAACUCCAAUCUAGCGCUAAAGGCCAAGAAGGUGGUCGGAUGUGCUACGAGAGAAGAAGUUGAUACCUCGUGUCAGGUUGACUUUGAGGAAGACUUGACCCUCUAGGUCAAGAAAUAUUCGGGCACAAAAGCAAAGAAAAGGGGAAGCAUCUUAAGGGAACAUCCUUUGGGAGAAGAACGUGCCACAAUCUUAUUAAUGUUACAUGGAGAAGAUUUCGUUUUGCGAUUGACUUCUCUCUCGCGCCAUCCGCCUCGCGAGCCGUCCGAUCAAGGUUGAUCGUGCUGCACUCAUCGUAUGUCACCCGUCCACCUGGGGCCCAUGCACCACCGUCCGCAUUAUAUCCAGCGCAACAACGAGAGCCACUCGCUCCCCCCCACAUGAGUGAGAUCCCCAUUUUUCCUCUUCAUAUUUGAAUCCCUCUUUGCACGGCCCCGUCGGAGCAGUCGCAAGCGGCAUGUAGCACCUGACGGGGAACCUGCUGCACCCUAGCAGCCGGCGACCCACAGCACCCGCGUCGGCGUUGCCCAGCAUCGUCGACCGUUCCCGUGCCCUAUGUUGCCGAGCAUCGUUGGCCGUUGCUGCGGUCGGUGUUGCCGAGCACGUCUGCGCUCAGCUCUCAUCUUCUUUUUUUUUUGAGGCACGCUCAGCUCUCAUCUGAAAUUCUCACCACGCCUGGACAUCAUCCCUUUCGGCCCGACUCCACAGUGGACAACAGACAGGCCAGCUUCACUUGCGGGCCGCAUUUCGCGUGGCCGGCCUUCCCCCUCCGCUCCGCGCGCAUCUUGGCCCGCACGGAACCAACAAAAUAGCAUAUAUAACGGCCAGCAAAUGCGACCUAGAGAGUCCUCACUUCCUUGAACCCUUUCCAUUCUCACGGAUCGGGAGCGCCGCCGCUUCCCCACCUCUCGUCUCUCGGCGAACCCCCAAGGUGAGCCGAACCUCCCCUCCCGCCUCCUCCCCCGCGCCCUCCGGCUGCUUCUCCGGCUGCUCCGUCGGCGGGCGCGUCCCUGCUAGCUAGCUACUGGCUGCUACCUGGCCGACCGAUUUCACGGGCUCUAGUCCAGCCUCCUCGCUAGCUCGAUGCGGUCCAGUCCCCUUUGCUGGGUUCGUGGCCGCUGGGAUUAUUCCUAUGUGGUUUCGAUGCUCUUAGACGCGGUAGAUCUGCUGCUUCGUUCGUCCCGCUCGCUUGUUCCUGGCGACGACUUUGUGCUGACGUCACUAGAUAGAUAAGCUCGUCGCUUCCGAUGCGCUUCUGCGGUGGCUAAGGGUGUUUGCCCCGUCGUGUUUAGCGAGGAUCUGCCCGCUCCGCCGUGGUGGACGGCGAUCUGUUUUAUGUGGUGUUCCGUUAGCUUUUUUCGCCAUUUUUUGCUGCGCUGCUGUUCAUCCACGGGCUCUUAGCAUGCUCAAGCUGCAGGGUUUUGCUCACUCGGUUGCCUGCCUGCCGUACCCUGGUUGGUUUCGUUCUCUGUUCUCAUGUUCAGGGCGGAGGAAAUGGUGAUGCAUACCUUUGCUUGGCAUGUUUAAUUUAAUUUGAUUGUGUAUAUAGAACGGGAGACUCUUAUAGAAUGGUGUGUCAGUUCUUAUCUACUUAUAGUUGAGGUAUUAUGGGUGAAUUUAUCCCUCAUCUGUUUUAUUUGGUUAAAUUGAUCCUAUGUGACUAUCUUCUGGUGUUCUUCUCAGUGCUCCCCAUGCAUGGUUGGUUGCACCUAUUUCAGAGCUCAACAUUAUGACCUUCUGUGCAUCGCAUUGUUUCUAGUGUUUACAGUGGUAGUUACUACUACAUGAUAAUACAGUCAGCACGUGUGCAUAAAACUAAAACUACCUUCUGUCACAAAUCAACUUUGCAUAAAACUACGAUUCUGUUUCGAAUCUGAUUUGUUUUCUCCAUCCACAUAUGAUUGAUUCAUGAGAGAUGUUUCUAUGAUCCACAAAGUUAUACAGAUCUGUAGGUACUUGAAGGUUUAGCUAGUGAAAUCCAUUACCUGUUUGUGCUUCAUACUUGCGCACACUUCAGAUAAUGGACUGCUUUUCUUUCUUAUCUUUCUUACUGUUUUGUGCUUUCUUUCGCAUACUGUCAUGUCGAGUGCUCUAAAAAUUGGUUGCCAUUGUUGCUUUCUGGCUUCCUUUUGAACGCACUUUGGGCAAUUAAGUUUUCAGAACAUGGUCUUCAGUUCCCAUAAGUUAGUUUUAGUAUGCUUGGUUGACUGUAACACAUAUUUCAUUUUAGUGGGUGUGGUUGUGGAAGUGUUGGUUAAAGUAUUUUUGGUACUGUACUUGAAGCUAAUGUGUGCCCAACAGUAGUAAGAGCCUUCUGUUUAUUCAGUUGUGGUUUUAAUUACUUAAUUUUUGUUCCAUUCUGAACAGGAACUAUAUUCCCAGCGUGAUAUCCAAAACCAGUCAAGAUGGUGAAGUUUACUGCGGAGGAGCUCCGCGGAAUUAUGGACAAGAAAAAUAAUAUUCGUAACAUGUCUGUUAUUGCUCAUGUCGACCACGGUAUGUGCCUGAACAUACAGUUGUCUCUAAUUAUUGAGUUCAUACAGUAGAAUCUUUGUUAAUCAAUGUUUUCAGCCUCUUAAUUUUACUGUAUUUAAUUCUAAAUACUGAAACUAUUUAAAUGGGUCAAUUUAACAAGUGGAGCAUAAUUAGUUUCAUCCCUAAAACCAAUCCAUCUUAUUGUGUCCUGGAGUUUACUACCACUGCUUAUUAUAUGAUUGAUUUCUGCUUCACCAAUAUGACUGAUUUCUGCUUCACCAAGCUUAAAUGUUACUGUUGACAUACCAUCCCAGGGCUUAUAUCUCCCCAGUUUGGUGUAUUCUCACAUUGUCCCUGAAUGCAUUACACUUGUAGGAUCUGAAAUUUACAUGAUUGUACUUAGUUACUUCAAUAUUGAUGUCCUUAUAUUCUGUUUGCAAUGUCCCACUAGAUUUUGCUUAACCAUGUUGCUAAAAACCUUGUUGAGCUUAUUUGUACCUUCUUUUGUUUCCUGAUUGUUUGAAAGUACUGUACUGCUGUGUCCUACUUCUGCCUUAUAUGAGUUAACAUGUUCGAUUUUCUAUUCAUAUAGGUUGUGUUCAACUGUCAAACCAGAUGCUUGUGCACUGUUCUCACAUAUUAUUUACAUAUUUGCAGGCAAGUCUACGCUUACGGAUUCCCUUGUGGCAGCUGCUGGGAUUAUCGCCCAGGAAGUUGCUGGGGAUGUUCGCAUGACCGAUACCCGUGCAGAUGAGGCAGAGCGUGGUAUUACAAUCAAAUCCACGGGUAUCUCUCUUUUCUAUCAGAUGACUCCUGAAUCACUUGAGAUGUACAAGGGCGACAGGGAUGGAGAUGAAUACCUGAUCAACCUUAUUGAUUCACCUGGCCACGUUGACUUUUCUUCGGAAGUCACAGCUGCUCUUCGUAUCACUGAUGGUGCUUUGGUGGUUGUUGACUGUAUUGAGGGUGUCUGUGUGCAGACCGAAACUGUGCUGCGCCAAGCUCUUGGUGAGAGGAUUAGGCCCGUCCUCACCGUGAACAAGAUGGACAGAUGCUUCCUUGAGCUUCAGUUUGAAGGUGAGGAAGCAUAUCAGACUUUCUCCCGUGUCAUCGAAAAUGCCAAUGUCAUCAUGGCAACAUAUGAAGAUGUGCUCCUUGGUGAUGUCCAAGUGUACCCAGAAAAGGGGACUGUUGCAUUCUCUGCUGGUUUGCAUGGGUGGGCUUUCACCCUUACAAACUUUGCUAAGAUGUAUGCCUCCAAGUUUGGUGUUGAUGAGGUGAAGAUGAUGGAGAGGCUGUGGGGUGAGAACUUCUUUGACCCAGCCACAAAGAAAUGGACCACCAAGAACACUGGGACAGCUACCUGCAAGAGAGGUUUUGUUCAGUUCUGCUAUGAGCCAAUCAAGCAAAUCAUCGCCACCUGCAUGAAUGAUCAGAAGGAUAAGUUGUGGCCUAUGUUGAAGAAGCUUGGUGUGACCAUGAAGAAUGAUGAGAAGGACUUGAUGGGAAAGGCUCUCAUGAAGCGUGUGAUGCAGACUUGGCUGCCUGCCAGUCGUGCUCUGCUUGAGAUGAUGAUAUUUCACCUCCCCUCUCCUUCAAAGGCACAGAGGUAUCGUGUGGAGAACUUAUACGAGGGCCCCCUUGAUGAUGUAUAUGCAAAUGCUAUCAGAAACUGUGACCCUGACGGUCCUCUUAUGCUGUAUGUCUCCAAGAUGAUUCCAGCAUCUGACAAGGGUAGAUUCUUUGCCUUUGGACGUGUUUUUGCCGGGAGGGUUGCAACUGGCAUGAAGGUCCGUAUCAUGGGUCCCAACUUUGUUCCUGGCCAGAAGAAGGAUCUGUAUGUGAAGAGUGUCCAGCGUACUGUUAUCUGGAUGGGAAAGAAGCAAGAGUCUGUUGAGGAUGUUCCCUGUGGUAACACUGUUGCUUUGGUUGGUUUGGAUCAGUUCAUCACCAAGAAUGCAACCCUGACAAAUGAGAAGGAAGUUGAUGCCUGCCCAAUCAGGGCAAUGAAGUUCUCUGUGUCCCCUGUUGUGCGUGUUGCUGUUCAGUGCAAGGUGGCUUCUGAUCUUCCUAAGCUUGUUGAGGGUUUGAAGCGUCUGGCCAAGUCUGAUCCUAUGGUUCUCUGUACCAUUGAAGAGUCUGGUGAGCAUAUCAUUGCUGGAGCUGGAGAGCUUCACCUUGAAAUCUGUCUGAAGGAUCUGCAGGAUGACUUCAUGGGUGGUGCUGAAAUUAUUGUUUCCCCUCCUGUUGUCUCCUUCCGUGAGACUGUUCUGGAGAAGUCCUGCCGUACCGUUAUGAGCAAGUCCCCCAACAAGCACAACCGUCUUUACAUGGAAGCUCGCCCGUUGGAGGAGGGAUUGGCUGAGGCUAUCGAUGAUGGCCGCAUUGGCCCGCGUGAUGAUCCUAAGGUGCGCUCCAAGAUCCUGUCUGAGGAGUUUGGGUGGGACAAGGAUCUCGCCAAGAAGAUUUGGUGCUUUGGACCUGAGACGACUGGCCCCAACAUGGUUGUUGACAUGUGUAAGGGAGUGCAGUAUCUGAAUGAAAUCAAGGACUCUGUUGUGGCUGGGUUCCAGUGGGCAUCAAAAGAAGGAGCAUUGUGUGAGGAGAACAUGCGUGGUAUCUGCUAUGAGGUCUGUGAUGUUGUUCUCCACACUGAUGCUAUUCACAGGGGUGGUGGUCAGGUUAUCCCAACGGCGAGGAGGGUCAUUUACGCUUCUCAGCUCACUGCCAAGCCAAGGCUGCUGGAGCCCGUGUACCUGGUUGAGAUCCAGGCCCCGGAGAACGCACUUGGUGGUAUCUAUGGUGUGCUGAAUCAGAAGAGAGGCCACGUGUUCGAGGAGAUGCAGAGGCAAGGUACCCCACUCUACAACAUCAAGGCCUACCUGCCUGUUAUCGAGUCCUUCGGGUUCUCGAGCACCCUGAGGGCCGCGACGUCCGGCCAGGCCUUCCCCCAGUGUGUGUUUGACCACUGGGACGUCAUGGCCUCCGAUCCUUUGGACCCUGGCACCCAGUCGGCGACGCUCGUGACGGAGAUCCGCAAGAGGAAGGGUCUCAAGGAGCAGAUGACCCCCCUAUCCGACUUCGAGGACAAGCUCUAAAUUUUGGGGCUUCGAGGACAAGCUCUAAAUUUUGGGGCCAUGUUUUGGUACUGGCUCUUGCUGUGAAGGGAGGCGCGGUAUUUUUCUCCCUAUGUGUCUUCCUUACUAUGUUGUUGUUUGUAUGUGGUGCUACUGAGACUAUGGUUUUGAUGAUGGUUGUGGUGAUGUAACAGAUGUUAAACUUAGAUCAUACAUUUCUGGCAUCCCAUGGUGGUUUAUUUUUACUGUGCUGUGUUUGCUUUUGUGCUAGAUCUUGCUUUCAUUUACGUAUAUUUGACUGUCGUCUCUCGCAAUUGCGUGGUGCGUGUUGUUACGUUUGUGAGUUCCAGCCAUUGUUGCGUUCUGGUUCAUUCAUAAUCUCUUGGGCUGUUUUUUUCUUUCCUUUGCUCUUAGUUUCAUGUUGUUAUGAUGAUUUCCACCAGCCCCUUGUGUUCUUGCCCGGCCGCUCUCUAUUUGCUGCUCUGUGGCUGAGCAGUAUCGUUUUGCGAUAGAAGCUUUCAGUCUAUUAUACUAUAUGUGAAACUCAAAUGCUUGAUGGUUUUGUUUGUUAUGAUCUAUUUUUGGAGUGCCAUUGCUACUACAGUACGUACAUGGCAGAGAAAUGCUGCUGAUAUUAAUGAUCUGUAUCAACGCCUUUCAGAUCUUACCACUGUAGCGAAAUUGGCUGAUAACCCGCGUUACAUUUUUUACGACGGGAAUCGGAAUGAACAUAGCUAGAGAGCGCAGUGCUUGGCAGUUGUUGCCCUGGGUGAAGAUCGUUGCGGCAACAGCAAUGGAGGCCGCAUCUUUGUGUACAAUCAGGGUGACCAGUGCCGGCUUUUGUCAGCUGGUCUUUGUGUUCAAAAAAUUCACAAAGACUCUUUGUCAAAGAGCAUAUGACAAAAGACAGCACCGACAGACAUGGAAGAUGAGGGCCGGCAAAACAGAACCGCAUCGCAUAUGCGGGAGUAUAUUCCUAUUCCGUUUCUCAAGCGACGCGUCAGCGAUGACGUGCGACCGGACGACUGACUUAACCAAGCAAGCACCAGAGGCAUAUGCCGAUUGGAGCAGUUGAAGCGCCGCCAGGGAAGACCAAAAACCUGUCCUUUGCAUAGUUUGUACUGCAUUCCAUGGUUUUACCAGAUAUGGAAAAAUAUCCAAUUAUAUCAGUCCUUAGAGCAUGUACAAUUGUUGAUAAGACUGUUUUAUCUUAUGGCUGUAACGUUAUUUAGAAAGGACAAUAAAAAAUGAUGUGCAAUUCGUUAUUCUUACUUACCCUCGUCUUCAAUAACUAGAUAUCUCUAAUAUGUCGUGAGACAAUUGUUUCUAAAAAUUCUUUUUUUGGGGGGACAGGACAAGCGUGUACAACCCCUAAAAAUUCAAAAUACACACGAAGAAACAAAAAGGAGAAAUUCAGGUAUGAAUAGGCCAUUUUGCUUUUGUCUUCGUUUUACACUAAUCAUGAUGGAUUUGUCUUUUAUGUUUUUCAAUGUGUAUUUAGAUUUUGGAUCUGAGUUUUUUUAGGGAUUUGUAUACAUAUGUGUUGCGAACGUUCAUAGUUUUUAUCAAUUUUUUCAAAAUGUUCAAAUUUGAAUUUCAUAAAAUUGGGAGCAUGUAAGGUUUGGUGCAGUGGCGGAGCUUCAUGGGGCCCAAAGGGGGCCAUUGCCCCCCUACUCUAUAAAAUCUCUUUAAGUGUACCCCUAAUUAAUUGUUGGCUUGAAUAUCCAAGGUUUAUGACCCCGCGAAAAGAAAAAAGAAAAUCCAAGGUUUAUGCAUAACUUGUCUUCGUCGCGCCCUCAACAAUCUUCAUCAAGCUCUUCUGGUCCCUGAUGCUUUCUGCACCAGAUAUAUCUUUCUUCCUGUGUUAGCGCACAUUUCUUUCUUCAUGCUCUCAAACAAUUUUUGCGAUGGGGACACCGGCUUCCAAGUCAUGUUGAUUGGUUAGCACGCACUCUCGAAACAUGUUCUGGACGAGUCGAGGCAUAAUUUUUGCUACAUCUUAAUUACUUUUCUUUAAAAAAUCCAUUUACUUCAAUUUUUUGAUAAAAUCCAUUUACUUCGUGGAUGCUAGUANNNNNNNNNNNNNNNNNNNNNNNNNNNNNNNNNNNNNNNNNNNNNNNNNNNNNNNNNNNNNNNNNNNNNNNNNNNNNNNNNNNNNNNNNNNNNNNNNNNNNNNNNNNNNNNNNNNNNNNNNNNNNNNNNNNNNNNNNNNNNNNNNNNNNNNNNNNNNNNNNNNNNNNNNNNNNNNNNNNNNNNNNNNNNNNNNNNNNNNNNNNNNNNNUUACAUGUCAGUUUUGCCUAUAUGGAGGGCAGAGACAUUAGAAGAUGACGGAAAUGAUUCUCAUGCAAGAGUUUAACUAUAUGCGUACUUCUAUGCAAAUACAAUAAAUAUGAAGAAAGAGAUAGAGAGAAGGUGAAAAGAAGUACUACUCUUAUAGCCAAACUUGUUGUAUGAGUGACUAUAAGUGAUGAUUAUAUAUGACAUGACAACAUCAGAUAACUAGUAGUUGAUUAUACUAUUAACCAUGCUAUAAUCAGGGGAUCGUAUUCCUCAUUCUCCAUACGCGGCUGUUAUGAUCCCGUGCUUUUGUGAGCUUGGUUGAACAGUAAAAUUUAAAAAAACAAUUUAGAAAUUUCUGGAUUUUUUUUAUGAAACUUUGACAAAUAUUUUGAUAGCUUGCAGAAUUUCAUCGCUAGAUGAAAUUUGUGUAAAAUGUGGCAAAAAACAAAACCGAUGUUCCAAAAAUAUUAUUUUCAAACGCAUUUUGGCAAUUCCUUGUCCUAUUUUUUUUUCUCUGACGUGAAACGGAGAUCCAACUGGCCCAUGAGACGGAAAAUCUGGCGAUCUUCUUUUACGGAUCUGGUCAAUUACCUCUGUAACCACGGCCCCCUAAACCCUUGCUCGAUCUCCCCCAAAUCCCAACCGGCCGAUCAUCAUGCCGCCGUCACGGCCGCCACGUCGCCGCUGCGGCCGACGGCGGCGCUCGGCCACCGCAGCAGGGACGGAUCCCUCCGCAGGCGGGAGCAGAGGGUGGCUCGCCGCCCGCCGCAGGCCGUUCAAGCGGCCCGGGCCCGAGCACGGCGACCAGGCGCUGCCCCUGUGCGACGAGACCCUGCUCCUCGUCUUCUCCGCCCUCUCCGACGCCGGGGACCUCGUCCGCUGCGCGUCCACCUGCAGGCGCUGGCGCCGCCUCGUCUCCUCCGACGCCGCCUUCAUCUGCCGCCGCGGCCCCCCGCGCUGCGACCGCUUCGCCCGCCGCCUCGCGGUCGGCGUCUUCCUGCACGGCGCCCGCGGCCGCGGCCGCUCCCGCGGCGACGGCUUCGUGCCCUUCACCAAGCCCGAUCUCUCGAUCGCCGACGGCGGGGUGCCGGGCUCGUCGUCGCGCGUCGUCGCGUCCCGCAACGGCCGCGUCGUGAUGGACCUCCGCCGCGCCAAGAGCGCCUGCGUGCUGCGCCUCUGCGUGUGCGACCCCAUGACCGGCAACGCCGACCUGCUCCCGCCCCUGGCCGGCAAGGACCGCCCGGGCCCGUACGCGUGCGCCCUGCUCACCGCCGACGACGGGCUCCACCUCUACGACGCAUGCGCGGCCACGUCCCCGUCCCCGUCCUCGUACCGCGUGCUCCUCCUCUACAACCACCGCAGCUACACGGCGCUCCGUCGCUACUCCUCGGACGACGGCAGCUGGGGCCCGGAGGUGGAGGUGACCGGCGCCCGGAUCGCGAGGGGGCGGCAGCUGGGCGUCAGGGCGCACGCCACGCUGGUGCGGGGCGGCGCGGUCUGCUGGUACGGGCUCGGCAUCGCCGUCAACCCCGCCACGCUGCACACGUCCAGCUUUGGCUACACCGUGCAGGCCUUCGAGUCGCCGCCGCGCCGCGCCAAGGCCUCCCUCGGCGAGGUGGACCGGCUGCUGGGGCUGAUGCCGGACGGGCGGCUGUGCGUGCUGGAGUGCAAGGCCGACGCGGUGCGCGCCUACGUGGUCGUCUACGCCGACGCGGUGAGGAACGGCGGCGUGUCGGGGAGGAAGGAGUGGCGGUGGACGCUGAACGCGGAGCUGAUGGGCCUGCAGGCGGUGAGGCUGCGGUGGUUCUGCGAGCAGAGCGGCGUGGCGCUCUUCACGGCGAGGAACCGGGGCGGCAAGACGCAGGUGUACGCGGUGGACGUGGAGACGAUGCAGGUGGGCAGGGUGGACUGGUCGGGGGACGACGGCGACGGCGGCGACGGGGACAUGGACGUGUGUGGGUACGAGAUGGACCGGGUGGCCAUGCUCGCCGAGCUCGACCACUCCGCUGAGCUCCAUCCAGCUCCUCGGCAGCUCUGAUUCAACAUUCUUUUCCUUAUUUUUCCCUUCUUUUUCUACAAAAUUUCAUUGAUUUCUGCAAUGACUGCAAAUUGUAGUUUUUGUAUAGGAGUAUUUAUAAUGCUUUUCGAAAAAUCAGUACUAAUACUGCAACCCAAACUGGUUCCAUUAUCGCCACUGUCAUUGUUCUCGCGAAAAUUGGAUCUGGGUCACCAAAUGAACCAAGCAUCUCAUACAGGUACAUGGAUUGUUUGCAUAUAAACACCAAUGAACUUCUGACUAAAAUUUUCAACUUUUAAGGGAACAGAAACCACUUCUGACUAAAAUUUUCAACUUUUAAGGGAACAGUUAAAUUUAUAGCAGUAACAUAAAAAUACAAAACAUGAUUUCUUUGGCAGCAAACAUCGGUGAAUAUUCUACUCCCUCUAUAAAGAAACAGUUUGUCUAAUUCACAUCUAGAUGUUUUUUAAGGAUGUCACAUCUAACCUCCCACAAGUAAGGCAACAACAAAGAACAAAAAAACUGGGACAAAAAAAAAAUAGACUACAAGCGUAGUGGAGAUCAGGUUAGAUGUGACAACAUCUAGAUGUGUCCUAAACAGACCCACAAAAAAAUAUAUUUCUUUUCGGAGGGAGUACAUACUUGGAAACUUCUUGAAAAAAAUAACACUCCUAAUACUCUGUCAAUAGCAAAAUCAAUGCUCCAGAAAGAAUAUUUUUGAAAGCAUUUGAUUUUGUAAAACAAAUCCUAGACCUCCACGAAUGUGAUUUCAUCACGAAAUUUGCAUGCACAUAGAAAACUAAGCAAUGUUCGUUGUAAAAAAAAUUCAGACUUUUAUUGUUCAUGAGCUCUUGAGCUCGAGAUUAUAAGGGACCCUUUCACCCGUUUGCAUUGUUUACACACCGAACACAAUCAUCAUUCAUCAGCCAAGCAACAACUAAACUGCAGCAACAUCAUCG